UUACGGCCACAUCACGCUGAAAUACCGGUUAUUGUAAGAUCAUCAAAGUUAAGCAACAUCGAGCUUGGUCAGUACUUAGAUGGGUGAUCGAUUGGGAAUACCAGGUGCUC